AAUAAUACAUAUAAAGGUGACGUGCGUUGGCAUUGCAUGUACUCUAUGACAUUUCCUCUUUCCGUGUAUGCCAGCGCUUAUCUACAGUAACGUGACGAUGACACGCUGUUACGUCCAAGUCUGUCAUCAUUAAGGAAAAGUGGCACAUCCAUGCAUAAAUGCGGGAAGGGUGCUGCACCCCUUGAGAUUGUGCCCUGCGAUGGACUGGCACCCUGUCCAGGGUGUACCCCGCCUUGUGCCAGAUGCUCCCUGGGAUAGGCUCCAGGUUCCCCGUGACCCUGAAAAGGAGUAAGCGGUAGAAGAUGGAUGGAUGGAUGGAUCAUCAUCAGCAUCAUAAUACAGUUUUUUUACAAUCACUUUGGCACUAAUUUCAAAACCUUGAUGUCACUUUUCAAAACUCUAGACACAAAACUCAAAACGGUCAUCACAGGCUGUCCAAUGUUGAAAACAUUGCAUUGUGGAUUCAUAUCUUUAAAGAAACAUUGCAUGUGCAGAAUCAUUGGUUCAAAUAACUUAAUGAUCAUGAAAUUCCAUACAAACAUUUAUUUAGAUCACCCAUACAUAAGACACAGAUGAUUUCACUGUGUAGUUGCUCAUUAAAUCAAUAAAUAUUGUAGUACAAAACAUGUGAUACAUGUUCAUUAUGGUACUAGACAUACAUAAAUACAUCAAUGUAAAAGGAGUAGAGAGAAUACUAAAGACAUAGUGAAUCAUUGAACAAACUCUGAAAUUUACUGAUCAAAUCACAAUGUGUUUCUUGGAAUCAAAGGAAAAAUAAUUACUGUAGCUACAAAAAAUAAAAGAAAUAACUACAGUGAAAUGUCAAGUGCAGUGUUCUUAAACGUGAAAUUAUGUUCAUAUUUCUUUAGCCUUCGGCAAAUAUAGGAAGAUUAUAAUAAUUAUAAUACAAUUUGAGUGAAUCUUUUCAGUUCUCGUUUACACGUUUAUGAAUGAUUUACAGAUCCAUGUGGAGGUGGGGCGUGGAAGAGUGCCGAUUUGUGAAUGGAGAUAUCUUCAGGCAUGGACUUUUAUCAAACAUGUUGGAGCAGUUUCUUCUCUAACAUUUCUAUUGUUUAACAUUUCAAAUGUUUAUAAACAUUUCUUCUCUAAUUCCAGACUGCUGGGACUACGGCUGCUCCUAAGGCCAUACAGACUUCAUAUAAAUCCAUAAUGAACUUUUUCACACUAUCUGUUGUUAGUGUCACUAUCUGUCACUAUCUGUUGUUACCCAGAUGAGGAUGGGUUCCCUUCUGAGUCGGGUUCCUCUCAAGGUUUCUUCCUCUUAAAACAUCUUAGGGAGUUUUUCCUUGCCACCGUCGCCACUCAGUGGCUUGCUCAGUUGGGAUAAAUUCACACCUUUAAUAUCUGUAUACCAUGUUGAUAUUUCUGUAAAGCUGCUUUGAGACAAUGUCUAUUGUAAAAAGCGCUAUACAAAUAAAAUUGAAUUGAAUUGAAGCAGAUUGGACAUUGUAUGUUUGAGUUACAACAACUUCUUUUUCAUGGUGAAACAUAGAAAUUUGUAAGACUGCCAUGCCCAUGACGU